UACGAGGGGGGCAAGUGUUGUUCGGAUUUACUGGGUGUAAAGGGAGUGUAGGCGGUUUGGUAAGUCAGGGGUGAAAUGUCCAUGCUUAACGUGGUCACUGCCUUUGAAACUGCCAGACUUGAAUGUUGGAGAGGGUAACGGAAUUCCAGGUGUAGCGGUGGAAUGCGUAGAUAUCUGGAAGAACACCAGUUGCGAAGGCGGUUACCUGGCCAAACAUUGACGCUGAGGCUCGAAAGCCGGGGGAG
rnacentral:rRNA from 1 species